rnacentral:rRNA from 1 species
CGGUCCAGACUCCUACGGGAGGCAGCAGUGGGGAAUAUUGCGCAAUGGGCGAAAGCCUGACGCAGCGACGCCGCGUGAGGGAUGAAGGUUUUCGGAUCGUAAACCUCUGUCAGAAGGGAAGAAACUACGUUGUGCUAAUCAGCAGCGUACUGAACCUUCAAAGGAAGCACCGGCUAACUCCGUGCCAGCAGCCGCGGUAA